CCUACGGGUGGCUGCAGUCGAGAAUCUUCGGCAAUGGGCGCAAGCCUGACCGAGCGACGCCGCGUGCGGGAUGAAGGCCUUCGGGUUGUAAACCGCUGUCGAGGGGAAUGAAGUGCAGGUGGGUUCUCCCAUCUGUUUGACAGAUCCCUGGAGGAAGCAUGGGCUAAGUUCGUGCCAGCAGCCGCGGUAAGACGAACCAUGCAAACGUUAGUCGUUAUAACGUGGGUUGAAGCUCUUGUUAGUCGUCUGUGAAAGCCCUCAGCCCAACUGAGGAAUUGCGCUUGAUACUGCAUGACUAGAGAAUGAUAGAGGUGGGUGGAACUGAUGGUGGAGCGGUGAAAUGCGUUGAUAUCAUCAGGAACACCAGUGGCGAAGGCGACCCACUGGGUCAUUUCUGACGCUGAGGUACGAAAGCUAGGGUAGCGAACGGGAUUAGAUACCCUAGUAGUC
rnacentral:rRNA from 1 species